rnacentral:rRNA from 1 species
AGUGAACGCUGGCGGUAGGCCUAACACAUGCAAGUCGAACGGCAGCACAGUAAGAGCUCGCUCUUACGGGUGGCGAGUGGCGGACGGGUGAGGAAUACAUCGGAAUCUACUUUUACGUGGAGGAUUACGUAGGACAACUUACGCUAAUAACGCAUAUGACCUACGGGUGAAAGCAGGGGAUAUUCGGACCUUGCGCGAUUGAAUGAGCAGCUGUCGGACUAGCCAGUUGGCGGGUAAAGGCCCACCAAGGCGAACAUCCGUAGCGGGUCUGAGCGGACGAACAGCCAGAUGGGAACUGAGACACGGUCCAGACUCCUGCGGGAGGCAGCAGUGGGGAAUAUUGGACGAUGGGCGCAAGCCUGGUCCAGCCAUACCGCGUGGGUGAAGAAGGCCUUCGGGUUGUAAAGCCCUUUUGUUGGGAAAGAAAAGCAGCAGGUUAAUACCCCGCUGUUCUGACGGUACCCAAAGAAUAAGCACCGGCUAACUUCGUG